GAUGAAGAACGUAGCGAAAUGCGAUAAGUAAUGUGAAUUGCAGAAUUCAGUGAAUCAUCGAAUCUUUGAACGCACCUUGCGCCCUUUGGCCAUUCCGAAGGGCAUGCCUGUUUGAGUAUCAUGAACACCUCAACUCUUCAUGGUUUUCCGUGAUGAGCUUGGACUUUGGGGGUCUUGCUGGCCUAUGGUCAGCUCCUCUAAAAUAAAUCAGCUUGCCAGUGUUUGGUGGGUAUCACAGGUGUGAUAACUAUCUACGCUUGUGGUUUUCCACCAGGUAACCUUCAGAAGUGGAGGUUCGCUGGAGCUCACAGAUGUGUCUCUCCUCAGUGAGGACAGCUCUUUGAAUGUUUGAUCUCAAAUCAGGUAGGACUACCCGCUGAACUUAAGCAUAUCAAUAAGCGGAGGA
rnacentral:misc_RNA from 1 species